UACGUAGGGGGCAAGCGUUGUCCGGAUUUAUUGGGCGUAAAGCGCGUGUAGGCGGCCAGAUAGGUCUGCUGUGAAAACUCGAGGCUCAACCUCGAGCUGUCGGCGGAAACCAUCUGGCUAGAGUCCGGAAGAGGAGAGUGGAAUUCCUGGUAUAGCGGUGAAAUGCGCAGAUAUCAGGAAGAACACCUAUGGCGAAGGCGGCUCCCUGGUCCGGUUCUGACGCUGAGACGCGAAAGCGCGGGGAGCGAACGGG
rnacentral:rRNA from 1 species